rnacentral:rRNA from 1 species
AUGGCGCAACAGUAUGCAAACAAAAUAUUGGAGAAGAGCACCCCACUAUGCAAUGGUAGAGAAAGUAAUGUAGAUAAGGUUCAAGAUAGUGAGACAACCCUGUUGGUCUCCAAGAAAGGUGAUAAAAACAAUCUUGUAGACAGUGAGAAAACCCCACAGUCCUGCGUUGAUGUAGUGUUCGAGUUACUCGCCAGUACCGCUAGCACAAGCUCUUCGAACUCGCUGCCUGAAUCACUUUGGCUUCUUCAGUCUCAGCUACAAGCUGAAAGGCAUCAGUCAGCUGUGUUGCGGCAAGAAGCCGAAGGACUGAGGAAGUCCCUGCAGAAUUCAGAUGCGCACUUUCUUGUGCAACAGCAAGCGCGGGAGGAUUUAAGCGCCAAACAAGAGAAAGUUAAUAAGCUUGCUAAGCAUCUUGCUAGCAUUAUGGGUACCCAGGAUAUUGUUUCUUGA